rnacentral:rRNA from 1 species
AUUGAACGCUGGCGGCAUGCUUUACACAUGCAAGUCGAGCGGCAGCGCGGGGGCAACCCUGGCGGCGAGCGGCGAACGGGUGAGUAAUGCAUCGGAACGUAUCCUCGAGUGGGGGAUAACCCAGCGAAAGUUGGGCUAAUACCGCAUGAGCUCUGAGGAGGAAAGCGGGGGACCUGCGAGGGCCUCGCGCUGGAGGAGCGGCCGAUGUCCGAUUAGCUAGUUGGUGGGGUAAAGGCUUACCAAGGCGACGAUCGGUAGCUGGUCUGAGAGGAUGAUCAGCCACACUGGGACUGAGACACGGCCCAGACUCCUACGGGAGGCAGCAGUGGGGAAUUUUGGACAAUGGGGGCAACCCUGAUCCAGCCAUGCCGCGUGAGCGAAGAAGGCCUUCGGGUUGUAAAGCUCUUUCGGACGGAACGAAAUGGGCGGGACUAAUACUCCUGUCUGAUGACGGUACCGUAAGAAGAAGCACCGGCUAACUACGUG